UGGGGAAUAUUGGACAAUGGGCGAAAGCCUGAUCCAGCCAUGCCGCGUGUGUGAAGAAGGCCUUAUGGUUGUAAAGCACUUUAAGCGAGGAGGAGGGUACUGGUAUUAAUACUACCAGCUACUGGACGUUACUCGCAGAAUAAGCACCGGCUAACUCUGUGCCAGCAGCCGCGGUAAUACAGAGGGUGCGAGCGUUAAUCGGAUUUACUGGGCGUAAAGCGUGCGUAGGCGGCUAAUUGAGUCGGAUGUGAAAUCCCCGAGCUUAACUUGGGAAUUGCAUUCGAUACUGGUUAGCUAGAGUGUGGGAGAGGAUGGUAGAAUUCCAGGUGUAGCGGUGAAAUGCGUAGAGAUCUGGAGGAAUACCGAUGGCGAAGGCGACCACCUGGGCUCAUACUGACACUGAGGUGCGAAAGCGUGGGGAGCAAACAGG
rnacentral:rRNA from 1 species